GCUGUCUUUCUUCAUUUUGGGGUGUUGUCAAUACACCAAAGUUAAAGUUCGGAGCUCGAACUUAUCACCCCAAAAAAAUUUCCCUUUUCUCCCGCAUUUUGUAACCAAAAAAAAAACAGUUGUACCGAAAACAAAGUAUGCUUUCCAGAACACGUUAGUUUAUCGAGUGUCGAUGCAGAAAUCGUAUUCUAGAACGACUAGAAUAUCAUUUGCAUCACCCAGCGAAUUUUCAGAUGGUAGAAAAACCAUUAGGAAACCGGAGGAAGUGGAUGACGAUCUGGAACAAUCGUAGCAUUAGCCAUUCACGGCCUACUGAAAACGAUAACUCCCGAUAGCACCAGGUGGCCUCAAGCUUGUGCUGAAACGCGCUGUUCCUAUAUGCUGCCCAUCGCCGGAGAAGUUUUUGACAAGGCAUGAUUUCGGUUGUUCCGCAAAUUAAUUGUAUGCACUGGAUAGUCAUCAAUUCCAGUGACGAUUUUAGUCUGGUUUUCCUUCUUCCGGUGCUAGUGAAUAGUGAAAAAAACAUUUUGUAAUUAUGAACAAACACAUUGUGUUUAUUUAAUAUGUAUAAUCCCUUUUGAUAAUUGGUUCAUGAAAUGAAAAAUCCCAUAAAAAUCCCUGCCGCAUGACAUGCCCCAAAAUUAAGUUGCAUAAAGGACGUUUAUUCUCAUGUUUGGGAAAACCUACUCGAACUUAAAAUAGUCGGGAGCCAGUUUCAUCCGAUUUUGCGGCAUAACAACUUGGUUUUGGGUUGUCGCGGCUUAGAGUGAUGUUUAUUUUUCUUUAUUCUCUCCGACGUGCAAUAGUGUGCGUUCCUUUGCGCCACCUUAGUAAAAGUGUACCUCAUUGACUUGAGACGAUCAUCUCAUCAAAUGUAAACAAAAACAAGUCUCAGCAACCGAAAUCGCAAUCCACUCGCUAAAUUUGAAAUACUCAGAGCCCGGCUACCUUUUACUCAGACGUCGCCACAUGUAUGAAGCAGCCGACGGCUGAUCUUAAUGGACUCAGAAAUCAGCGGAAAGAUUACUCAGACGGCAGGAAAUUCGCCACUCAGAGAACUCGAGUGCUUGAAGGCGACAACUGAGUAAAUGUUGAACAGUUUGUACGAGGUGGUUGAACUUGGUUGGUUUUGUGCAGCAAAAACAUGAAAUUUUACAUGAAUUCUGCGACGAAGUGAUGAUGGUCCAAAUAGAUUUGCCAUCUAGUACGGCAUAAUGGGUCCCGGCCCGGGAGACAAAACCCGACGGGCAAAAAAAAAAUUCAAAAAGUUUGCGGAUUUUUUUUAAAAUACAGGUGUAUGAACAAUA